rnacentral:rRNA from 1 species
GAUGAACGCUAGCGGGAGGCCUAAUACAUGCAAGUCGAACGGUAACAGGGUAGCAAUACCGCUGACGACCGGCGCACGGGUGAGUAACACGUAUCCAACCUUCCCAUAACUCUGGGAUAGCCUUUCGAAAGAAAGAUUAAUACCGGAUAGUACUUUUUCAAGGCAUCUUGAGAAAGUUAAAGAUUUAUUGGUUAUGGAUGGGGAUGCGUUCCAUUAGAUAGUUGGUGAGGUAACGGCUCACCAAGUCUUCGAUGGAUAGGGGUUCUGAGAGGAAGGUCCCCCACAUUGGUACUGAGACACGGACCAAACUCCUACGGGAGGCAGCAGUGAGGAAUAUUGGUCAAUGGGCGAGAGCCUGAACCAGCCAAGUAGCGUGAAGGAUGAAGGUCCUAUGGAUUGUAAACUUCUUUUAUAGUAGAAUAAAGUGACCCACGUGUGGGUUUUUGUAUGUAUACUAUGAAUAAGGAUCGGCUAACUCCGUGCCAGCAGCCGCGGU